UAGGGAAUCUUCGGCAAUGGGGGGAACCCUGACCGAGCAACGCCGCGUGAGUGAAGAAGGUUUUCGGAACGUAAAGCUCUGUUGUUAAGGAAGAACGAGUGUGAGAAUGGAAAGUUCAUACUGUGACGGUACUUAACCAGAAAGGGACGGCUAACUACGUGCCAGCAGCCGCGGUAAUACGUAGGUCCCGAGCGUUGUCCGGAUUUAUUGGGCGUAAAGCGAGCGCAGGCGGUUAGAUAAGUCUGAAGUUAAAGGCAGUGGCUCAACCAUUGUAGGCUUUGGAAACUGUGUAACUUGAGUGCAGAAGGGGAGAGUGGAAUUCCAUGUGUAGCGGUGAAAUGCGUAGAUAUAUGGAGGAACACCGGUGGCGAAAGCGGCUCUCUGGACUGUAACAGACGCUGAGGCUCGAAAGCGUGGGGAGCGAACAGG
rnacentral:rRNA from 1 species